rnacentral:rRNA from 1 species
UACAGAGGUCUCAAGCGUUGUUCGGAUUCAUUGGGCGUAAAGGGUGCGUAGGCGGCGCGGUAAGUCGGGUGUGAAAUUUCGAGGCUUAACCUCGAAACUGCAUUCGAUACUGCCGUGCUAGAGGACUGGAGAGGAGACUGGAAUUUACGGUGUAGCGGUGAAAUGCGUAGAUAUCGUAAGGAAGACCAGUGGCGAAGGCGGGUCUCUGGACAGUUCCUGACGCUGAGGCACGAAGGCCAGGGGAGCAAACGGG